CUAAGGAGCACAUCUCCACAAUGCUUCACACAGGUGAAUGUGAUUGUGGCAGAGACCGUUUCGGAAGCAAUCGUCUUCCGGCGGAAGCUCAUGGGUGGAACACUGACAACCUCACCCGCAUCAUGGUCCCGGCCAAUGUCCGGUGCCGCGGUUGAUAUAUCGACACACUGUUGGGUCCUGAAAGAACAGACGUUCUUUCCAGGCAAAAAAUACGACGAGGCUGAUCUUCAGUCAUACCGGCUUCUUCCUUCGGGUUGGGGUGCUGGUGCUGGGUUUAGGGUUGGUCUUGUGUGUUGUUUGAGAACUGCACAGUGGACGCGAGCAUCUUUGUUAGUAAGUGUGUAAGAGCGUAC
rnacentral:misc_RNA from 1 species